rnacentral:tRNA from 2 species
GGGACCUGCUAGGAGAUGGGCUCUCUUCGUUUACACCGAAGAUGUCGGCGGUUCGAGCCCGUCAUCGCCCACCA